GUGGGAGAAGAGGUAUAUGAAUGGGAGACCAUGGCUUCAUAUCAAGGAAACCACUAGUUUCAGUGGAGAAGGAGAUCAUUCCUGUAUUCCCAGCAAGACUGGGAAAGGACGUGGAGGCAGCCACGACAGCACAAAUUAAAGACACUCACAAGAAAGAAAUUUCAGAACUGCUUCAGAAAUUGCAAGAAUGA
rnacentral:lncRNA from 1 species